UCAUAUCAAGGAUAUUAAUGCGCACACACACACACACACUCAUUACACUUCCUGUUAAAGGCUCAGGAAGUGAGCGUGGUGGUUUGUGUUCAAACUCAGUGACACAAGUGUCGUGGGAGCAUUGAGAAACCCUUCUGGGAGCCACGAUGAAUACAUUGACUGAAAAUCCCAGCGGGUUGUCCGGACACGUGAAGGAAGCGCAGCAGCGAUUCAAUCCGCCCACCUGCAUUCCCGGAUCCGCCUUGGAUACUUUCGCCGACUAUCUGGCCCGCGACGUCGUCGGCCAACUCUUGCGUGGUAAAAGCAGCCGACCGGGUGGCCAAGACCCAGUUGGUGCGCUCGCCCGACAACUGGCUGGAAGCAUCAUCACUUCCUCUCUUCAAACUUUGAUAUGAGAACGAACGCGUAGGCGCCACAGUUGUUUUCACAAAAGGUCAAACUGUCCACAAGAUGGGAGCACCCUUUGGAAACUAACAGGAGGCCGAGCUGGCUGAGUACAGUUCCCCCCACAACCCCCAUGUUCACACCUCCAUCGCCGUUAUCACCUACUCUCUCUCUUUCAAGGAGAAGAAAUCAUUUCUCGCCCCCCCUCCCCAUGUUAUUAACA